rnacentral:tRNA from 1 species
GAGAGAGAUCUGCCAUAACAAAGACUGCUAAUCCCUGUUUCCUUGGUUAAAUUCCAGGGCUCACUCG